GGUCCCGUAGCUCAGCUGGAUAGAGCACCAGACUACGAAUCUGGGGGUCAGGAGUUCGAAUCUCUUCGGGCGCGCCA
rnacentral:tRNA from 1 species